ACAUGCAAGUCGAACGGUAGCACAGAGAGCUUGCUCUCGGGUGACGAGUGGCGGACGGGUGAGUAAUGUCUGGGAAACUGCCUGAUGGAGGGGGAUAACUACUGGAAACGGUAGCUAAUACCGCAUAACGUCGCAAGACCAAAGAGGGGGACCUUCGGGCCUCUUGCCAUCAGAUGUGCCCAGAUGGGAUUAGCUAGUAGGUGGGGUAACGGCUCACCUAGGCGACGAUCCCUAGCUGGUCUGAGAGGAUGACCAGCCACACUGGAACUGAGACACGGUCCAGACUCCUACGGGAGGCAGCAGUGGGGAAUAUUGCACAAUGGGCGCAAGCCUGAUGCAGCCAUGCCGCGUGUAUGAAGAAGGCCUUCGGGUUGUAAAGUACUUUCAGCGGGGAGGAAGGUGUUGAGGUUAAUAACCUCAUCAAUUGACGUUACCCGCAGAAGAAGCACCGGCUAACUCCGUGCCAGCAGCCGCGGUAAUACGGAGGGUGCAAGCGUUAAUCGGAAUUACUGGGCGUAAAGCGCACGCAGGCGGUCUGUCAAGUCGGAUGUGAAAUCCCCGGGCUCAACCUGGGAACUGCAUUCGAAACUGGCAGGCUAGAGUCUUGUAGAGGGGGGUAGAAUUCCAGGUGUAGCGGUGAAAUGCGUAGAGAUCUGGAGGAAUACCGGUGGCGAAGGCGUCCCCUGGACAAAGACUGACGCUCAGGUGCGAAAGCGUGGGGAGCAAACAGGAUUAGAUACCCUGAUAGUCCACGCCGUAAA
rnacentral:rRNA from 1 species